rnacentral:misc_RNA from 1 species
AAGUCGUAACAAGGUUUCCGUAGGUGAACCUGCGGAAGGAUCAUUAACAAAAAAUCUGGUGAUCCGAAAGGAGAGCCAUCAACCUUUGUGAAUAGGGCCAUUUUGAUUUCAUUUGAUUUCAUUUGAUUUCAUUUGAUUUCAAGAUAGCUUAGAAGGGAUUAGGGAGGAGAAGAGGGUGGCAGUGGCGGGUAUGGUAUAAGUACCUGUGUGUGCUAUUCUCGGAUCCUAAUAUUUUAGUAGUCUGAAUACUUGUCGAAAGACAAAUACAUACAACUUUUAACAAUGGAUCUCUAGGCUCUU